rnacentral:rRNA from 1 species
GACGAACGCUGGCGGCGUGCCUAACACAUGCAAGUCGAACGGAAAGGCCCUGCUUUUGUGGGGUGCUCGAGUGGCGAACGGGUGAGUAACACGUGAGUAACCUGCCCUUGUCUUUGGGAUAACUUCAGGAAACUGGGGCUAAUAUCGGAUAGGAUCUCCUGCACCAUGGUGGGGGUUGGAAAGUUUCGGCUGUAGGGGAUGGACUCGCGGCUUACCAGCUUGUUGGUGGGGUAGUGGCUUACCAAGGCUUUGACGGGUAGCCGGCCUGAGAGGGUGAACGGCGACCAUGGGACUGAGGUACGGAGCAGACGCGAACGGGAGGCAACAGUGGGAAGUAUGGCACAAUGGGCGCGAGCCUGAUACAAAGACGCCGCGUGCGGAAUGACGGCCUUCUGGUUAUGAACAGCUUUCGCCUGUGACGAAGCGUGAGUGACGGUAAUGAAUAAAGAAGCACCGGCUAACUACGUG